rnacentral:rRNA from 1 species
CCUACGGGGUGCAGCAGUAGGGAAUAUUGCUCAAUGGGGGAAACCCUGAAGCAGCAACGCCGCGUGGAGGAUGAAGGUUUUCGGAUUGUAAACUCCUUUUGUUAGAGAAGAUAAUGACGGUAUCUAACGAAUAAACACCGGCUAACUCCGUGCCAGCAGCCGCGGUAAUACGGAGGGUGCAAGCGUUACUCGGAAUCACUGGGCGUAAAGAGCGCGUAGGCGGGAUAGCAAGUCAGAUGUGAAAUCCUAUGGCUUAACCAUAGAACUGCAUUUGAAACUGUUAUUCUAGAGAAUGGGAGAGGUAGGUGGAAUUCUUGGUGUAGGGGUAAAAUCCGUAGAGAUCAAGAGGAAUACUCAUUGCGAAGGCGACCUGCUAGAACAUAACUGACGCUGAUGCGCGAAAGCGUGGGGAGCAAACAGGAUUAGAUACCCUUGUAGUC